AGGUUUUCAUCUUCUUCUUUUCCUUCCUUUUUAUUCUUUGAGUUGUCUGUUGAUUUCACUCUAAGGUCUGACCCGUGAGUCCUUUUUGCUAGAUCUGUAAGUCCCGAGGGUAGGGCGUUUGUGCUGGGCAGGAGACAGAAAAUUGAGUGGAGUUAGUAGAUUUCUUAGAGUCUAAGGAGUGAGUCCGAGAAGUCCCUGUUUAUCUUCUUCCUCAGUCCGUUUGAGUCAAACACUUGAGUAGCCAUGAGUCGUUUUCUUAGGUCAAGUUCCUGUAAGUCAAGCAGUUCUAAGACCAGUAUAAGUCGACUCCCUGAGAUAGUUAAUGAAGAACAAUUUGAAUAUGAUUCUAGUUGCAAAGAACAAUUAGAUUUUAGAGAUUGGAAUAUCCCUAAAGUCCCUAGUCAAAAAAUUUAUAAGAAACAUUGGUUGCCUUCCAGUUUUAAUAGCACCACACAUGUCAAAACAGUUGAACAAGUUUACGCUCUUAGUAAAGAACACGAAACUUGCCAGUUGCUUAAUCUUGAGUCAAUUAAAAAACACAAGACUGAUGGAAACAAUUUCCUGCAUAUCGGUCUAGUUCAAGUUGCCGUUAAGCCCCUAACCAGGUUAGGAUUGAAAGCCUCUAUACUGCUCUGUUUACGCGAUGCCCGGUUCACCGCAUUCAGUGACAGUACGUUAGGAGUUAUUGAGUCCAGUUUGUGUAACGGUCCAGUUCAUUUUGAUUGUUACCCAGACUUUACUGUAAGCCUAAGUGAUCCCCAUAUAUUGAGAACCCUAACUCUCAAUAUUAAGACAGAAGGCUAUAAUGUCCUCUCAGGAACCCAGCCUCUGGCCCUAGUUUACAGAAUUUACUAUAAGGUCACAGGAACCAAUAUGAACUUCCAGGCCUUAAACAAAAGCCCAAAGGAUCAGACAGUCCUGAUCCAGAGUCACACUUCAGACGCCCAUAUUCAAGUUCCCCAGACCAUUAAAUGGUCAGAAGUUGCCCUUCCAACAGAUUGGACCCUAGUUACCGAGAGCCAACCAGCUCCGAUCCAACGUAGUCUAAACAAUUUAGACUAUAUUCAGCAGUACUUAGAUGGCACGGUUAAGAUUAGGUUCGAUAGCCAGCCUCUACGUAAGUCUAAUGUCCAGUUACACCAGUUGCCAACCCCAGGUCAGUCACAAAGGCAUGCCCCAGCCAGGCACUCCUUUACUGCCUCAUCCUCAACUCUAGAACGAGACCUAGAGUUAGAAAAAACCAUGAUAGACUUGAAGCUUGAGUCCCUGAGAAGAUCCUCUCAGGUAACCCAGCCCUGCUACGGCAAGGCUCCGGUCGAAGAAAAGUCAGAAUCCCCUGAGUCACCUACCCAGUCUGACUUUGCAGUUGAUAACUAUGCCACAGUAGAUAACCAGUUAAGAACCCUUAAUAGAAAAUUCAGAAUUGAUUGGUCACGUCUAAACAAACAUCUCAAAGCCCCUGAGAAUCAGUCUAGACGAGAUAGUUACCACCAAGCCUAUCCAGAAGCCCAACGCCGCCUAGAAAUCUUUAGUGAAUGGAAAGAUUACAUGCGGUCAGCCCAAGUUGAAAUUUUCUACCUUGAUUUUGUAGAAAGCCGUUAUAUGUCAAAUGAUGAGUUAAAAACCUUAACUCAGCAAAAAUGGAAAAUGGCAGAUAAGUCUGUCGUUGAGUCUAGCCAUCCUCCAGUAGAAACCAUAAUUAUUGAGCAUAAAGAUACUCUUAUUCCUGCUACUCCUUUCAAAACAUUUGAAAGUAGUGACAGUAAUAGAAGAAUUCUUGAGCAAAAUAAUUAUACCAACCAGAGUCUAAUCGUUAUAGGAAAACAGUUGGAUACAAUAGAAACUAAAAUUGAUAAGUUAGGUUCUACAGACGUAGAGUCUAAAAAGAAAGUUGAAAAACCAAUUGUCCAGUUCCAGGAUCUUAGGUCUAGCCCGACUCUUAAGAUCACCCCAACAAUGAAGAAAAUAGAAGACAUGUUAGCCCAGUUGACCCCUGCCAAAGUUGAAAAAACUGAGAAAUCUGGUCUUAAAACACUAGAUGCCUUUGCAGUAGAAAAUACCUCUGAGUCUGAGUCUUCAGAAGUAAGCAAUAUUUCUAAAAUUGAAAAAGCCUUUCAAACUUUAGAAAUCCAAGUUGAACCCAAAGUUAAGAAAUUAGAAAAGUUUGUCAGCCCCAGUAGUCUGACCAAAAAUUGGUAUCCCAGACCAAUACCUCCUGACAUUCAAUUUGAAGAAAGAAACCUGCAGACCCAGUUCUCUGUUUCUUCCGACAAAUUGUAUGAAUGGAAUAUUGAUGGUCUCUCUGAGCAAGAGAUCCUCAAUAAGUUACAACAUAUGUCUAUGGUUGCCAAUAGUUAUAUCACCAAUCACAGUUUCAGACAGUCUGAAAUUGUCCCUCUGUUAGUCACUGGUUUCACCGGUACUCUCAGAAGUUGGUGGGAUAAACAUCUGAGUCCUGAGUCUAAAAGCCGUAUAACCUUUGCUGUAAAACUUAAUGAUGACGGUCACCCUAUCUUUGACGAACGAAUAGGUCAAGGUAUAGAAGACGGUGUCAACACCCUGUUUUACACCAUAAUCGACCACUUCAUAGGAACCCCUAGUAAUCAAACUGCUAGGAUCCAUGACCAGUUGAGUAAUCUUAGAUGCCCAAAGUUGUCCGAUUUCAGAUGGUAUAAGGAUGUCUUCAUCUCUAGAGUCAUGCUUAGAGACGAUAGUAACCAACCAUUCUGGAAAGAGAAAUUUGUUAAUGGUUUACCAAACCUAUUUGCCCAUAAGAUCAGAACUACCCUCAGUAAUGAAUUAGGUCAUAUUGAUUGGGAUAGUUUAACUUAUGGUAACAUUGUAAGCACAAUUAAUCAAGUUGGCAUGAAAAUGUGUGUUGAUUACAAAAUCGGAAAACAAAUACAGUCCGAUAGGAAUUCAGCCAAGUAUGAGUUAGGAAACUUCUGUGAACAGUAUGGUCUCAGUAGUUUGCCGCCCUCUAGAAGAAACAAGUCUAAGCCAAGUCACCUUAGGAAACGCCGGUUUUCCUCUAAAAGAAAACAUUUUGCAGUUAAAAGUGACAAUGAGUUUUAUAAGAAAAAGAAAAGUUUUAAAAGAAAAAAUUGGUCUAAAGCCCCCAGAAAAGCCCAGAAAAGUCGACCCAAAACCGAUAAGUCCAAAGUUAAAUGUUUUAAAUGUCAAAAAUUUGGUCAUUAUGCCUCUGAGUGCAAAGUUAAAGAUGCCAUUAAGCAGUUGCAGAUCUCAGAAGCUGAAAGAGAAAAGUUGAUCCAAGUUUUAGAGUUGCGAGACUCUGAAACUAGCAGCCCCGAAACCUUAGUUGCCAGCUCUGGUUAUGAUUCUGAACAAGUUUCAGAUUCCCAACCUAGUUCCCCUGAUAUACAAUUUGGUUGCAUAGAUAAGUGUUGUAAUAGAAUCAAGUCUGUUUUUGUUCUUACUAAACAGGAAGAACAAGAAGAGUUGUUAAUUGACUUAAUCAGCCGAGUAGAAAACCCUGAGUUAAAGUCCGAUUAUUUGAGAAAAUUGCGAAAAGUUAUCAGUCAAGAAAGCUCUAGUAGUCCUAAACCGCAGCCGGUCAGUUUAGCCACUACUAUAGAAAAAUUUGCCCAGAAAAAGAAAGAAGUUACCUUACAAGACCUCCAGUUAGAAGUCAAAAUAGUCAAACAAGAUUUAGCCGAGUUAAGACAGAUUAGUAACCAGUUGCAGGUUGAAAACCAUACAAUCAGGCAAGACUUAACAAGUCUUCAAAAAGGCAAAAUGCCUUUAGAGCCCAGUAACCAGUCAGACAGCCCUGCUGGUUCUGACGAAGAAACCCCAGUUGUCAACCUAAUCAAACAAGUCAAUUUCCGAAAAUGGUAUUCGAAAGUCACAAUAGUUGUCAAAGAUUUUGAGUUUACCACAGUUGCCUUAUUUGAUUCAGGAGCCGACCUUAACUGUAUUCAGGAAGGUCUAAUUCCUACCAAGUAUUACCAGAAGUCUAGAGAAACCCUAAGCACCGCUUCAGGAAAAUCUCUCCAAUUGAAUUUUGAGUUGCCUAAAGCCCAUAUUUGCCAAAACAAAGUUUGUUUUAAAACUUCAUUUGUCUUAGUUAAAAAUAUUACUGAUGAGGUUAUCUUAGGAUUACCUUUCAUAAGUCUGCUUUAUCCCUUCCAGGUAGAAUACGACGGUGUUAUUUCUACCCAGUUAGGUGAGAAAGUUAAGUUUAGUUUCCUUUCUAAACCUGAGUUGCAUAAUCUGAAAGCCCUACAGAAACAGUCUGUCUCUAGGUCCCUUCAGGUUGUCCAAAAAACUAACCAGUUGAAUUUUCUUAAAGAAGAAAUUAAGUUUAAGAGAGUUGAACAACAACUUGCCAGUCAGUCCUUACAGUUGCAAAUUCAAAAAUUUGAACAAAGAUUAAAAGAAGAAAUUUGCUCUGAGUUGCCCACAGCCUUUUGGUAUAGGAAGCAGCAUGUUGUCCGUCUUCCCUACAUCAAAACCUUUAGUGAGAAAAAUAUCCCCACUAAAGCCAGGCCAAUUCAAAUGAGUCAAGAAAUGAUGGAGUUUUGUAAGAAAGAAAUUGAAGAGUUGCUUCAAAAGAAAAUAAUUCGUAAGAGUAAGUCCCCCUGGUCAUGUCCUGCUUUUUAUGUCCAGAAAAAUGCUGAACUAGAAAGAGGUGUUCCCAGAUUAGUUAUCAAUUAUAAGCCCCUUAAUGCGGUCCUAGAAUGGAUUAGGUAUCCUAUACCUAAUAAAAGAGAUCUCAUUAAUCGAUUAGAAAAAGCAGUUGUCUAUUCUAAGUUUGAUAUGAAAAGUGGUUUCUGGCAAAUCCAAAUAGAUGAGUCAGAUAGAUAUAAGACUGCAUUUGUCACUCCCUUUGGACAUUACGAAUGGAAUGUAAUGCCCUUUGGAUUGAAAAAUGCUCCUAGUGAAUUCCAGAAUAUCAUGAAUGAUAUAUUCAAUCCUUACAGUCAGUUUUCGAUUGUUUAUAUUGAUGAUGUUCUGAUCUUUUCUGAGUCAUUAGAACAACAUUGGAAACAUUUGAAUAAGUUCCUUCAAGUUGUCAAACAGAAUGGUUUAGUUGUUUCUGCCAAGAAGAUCAAGUUGUUUCAAACCAAUAUUCGUUUCCUUGGUUUCAAUAUUUGUCAGUCGCAAAUUUCCCCAAUUGAUCGAGUUAUCCAGUUUGCUGAUAAGUUCCCUGAUCAAAUUCUUGAUAAGAGUCAACUUCAGAGGUUUUUAGGAUCUCUAAAUUAUAUCUCUGACUUCUAUCAGAAUCUAAGAAAACAGUGUAAGCCCCUAUUUGAUAGGUUGCAGAGUAAUCCUCCUCCUUGGUCGCCUACUCACACUGAAGUUGUUAAACAGAUUAAGUCUCAUGUCAAGACACUUCCCUGUCUUGGUAUUCCGUCAGUUGAUUCUUUCAAAAUAGUUGAAACAGAUGCCUCUGACAUAGGUUAUGGUGGCAUUCUUAAGCAAAAAGUCAGUUCCAGUUCUCCAGAACAAAUUGUUCGUUUCCAUUCUGGAACCUGGACUCAGUCGCAGCAUAAUUACAGUACUAUUAAAAAAGAAAUAUUAGCUAUUGUAUUAUGCAUUAGUAAAUUUCAAGAUGAUUUGCUUAAUCAAAAGUUUUUAAUCAGAGUUGAUUGUAAGUCUGCAAAACAUGUUUUAGAAAAAGAUGUUCAAAACAUUGCAUCUAAACAGAUUUUUGCACGAUGGCAAAGUAUAUUAAGUAUAUUUGAUUUUGAAAUUGAAUAUUUGAAAGGCAGUGAGAAUUCUGUUCCUGAUUUUCUCACUCGAGAAUUCUUGCAGGAUGCACAAUGGCUCCCAAGAAGGACAAACAAAAAGCAGUAGCCAGUCAACCCAAGUUGCCUAAGUCACCCAAGUCAACCCAGUCAUCCCAAUCGUUCAGAGUUCUUCCUUCCUCCAUGAGUCAACCCAAGCCAGAGUUGCCCCAGCAAAUAGUUCCUUAUCCAGGUCACCCCCCAUUAUCAGUUGCCACUCCAAUAUCAGUUGCAAACAGAUUUUCCUCUUUAGGAUCCACAGUUGGCCAAAUUCGCCCCAGUUAUCAAUCCACCUUAAUUUCCAGUUAUGACCCUUUUGCAGUUGAGAUCCCUGCAGGGCCAUCAGUUGUCCACAAAAAAUCGUCUCCUUAUUUGCCCAAGAGUAAUUCCCAUUUAUUUGUCAUUGAGUCUGUAUAUGAUAUUCAUGCAAAUCCAGUAGAAAUUGCCAAACACUAUUUCCCUCCUGGAUUUCAUUAUAUGCCCCAGAGUCCAUAUAAGUCCCUCAAGUACUAUAGAGAUAUAUUGCUUGAGACACAAUCAGUUGAAAUUAAGCCGAUAAAGGAUCGGGAUCAUCCUGAAACCAUUCUUUAUCAUUCUCUUUACAUUCAUCAAAUUGUCAGUCAGCAAUCUUUCAGUAGCCAUCCCUAUGAGUUGAAAAUGCUUAAGUCAAAAUUACAAUAUAAUUAUUCGGAUUAUAUUGAAGCCUGGUAUACUAUCUUUCUUCACCAAUCUGAAGAUUUUAGCCAUUCCUGGUUUAUUAAUUUUGAUAAUAAGUUUAAAAGCCCAUUCCCCUACUGGUUUCUUCACUGGUGGGAAAAAUACGGUCCAGUUGAUGAAAUUCUACCAGUAUCAGUUCUUGAGUUGAUUCGCCAUUUUACAAAAAGAGCCAAGUUUUCCCUAGUUGAUUUAUUUUUCCCCAAACAGUUGCUGUUUAUUGCCAGAUACAAGGUACCUUGGAUCCUUAAAUGGUCCUAUGCCAUUACCAAGGACACCCGUGUCUUUGCCCGCCAAUUCUCAGUCAAAUGGUGGGACAAGUUUGAAGUUGACAGAAUCGCCAAAUAUGUCUACAGUGACCUCCCCCGGGAGCCAGUUCCUCGCCCAGUAUCUCCUACAGGCUCAGUCAGAUCAUCCUUAUCAGUUGAAGGAAAAUCUAAAGCUGAGCUCCAGGAAAUUGCACGCCAGCUGAUCAUCCAGGCCUCUCAGAUGGAUGAUGAUGAGGACAAUGAUUCUCCUCCAUCGUCUAGUUGCCAGCCCUUGCAGAGUCCUACCAAGACAAAACCAUGGUUUGAUGACAGCCAGGACCCCUAUGAUGCCUACGAUCUAGGGGAAUCCUCUCCAUAAUUGCCUCAGUUGCCGACAAGCAAGCCUCGUCAAAAGAAGUUGCCAAUUUGUCAAAAGUAGUUGCCGACAGACCACUCUGUCAAAAGAAGUUGCCAGAUCACGUGAAAGCAGCGGACAAAGCAUCACUGCUUUUACUUUUGUCAGAUCACCGAAAAGCAGCAGACAAAGCACUGUUUGCUUUUUGACAAUCCACCGAAAGUAGCCGAAAGCAUCUGCAGGAGUCAAAGUUACCUCUACAGUUGCUAAAAGUUGAAUCAGGUUGAACAUCCGUGCCUCCACAGCUGUCCAACCAUAGUUGCCUUUUACCAUAGUUGCUUUUGUAAACCAUAGUUGAAAGUUGUCUUUAAAUUCAGGCUUCGGCCUCAGUUGUAGGCAGAACUGGUUUUACCAGCUGCAUUUUAUUUUCUUAGUUUUAAAGAUUCUCUCUGAAACACCUUUAGAGAAAUCACGCUUGUACAUAGUCUAGUUGUGUUGAAGUUUGCAGUUGCAACCUUUGUGAGUAUAAUAAAAGUUGCUAUUUUUAAAUUAUUCUAUUUUGACUAAUUUCAUAUAUGCAUUAUUUUCUGCAUAUGCAUUAGUCUGCAUUUUAUUUUCUUAGUUUUAAAGAUUCUCUCUGAAACACCUUUAGAGAAAUCACGCUUGUACAUAGUCUAGUUGUGUUGAAGUUUGCAGUUGCAACCUUUGUGAGUAUAAUAAAAGUUGCUAUUUUUAAAUUAUUCUAUUUUGACUAAUUUCAUAUAUGCAUUAUUUUCUGCAUAUGCAUUAGUCUGAAUAUUGAGUUAAGUUGCUGCAUAAUCAUAUUCAUCUUCUUUCUCGCUAUCUCUCUGUGUCCCCUCGUUUUGGUAUCAGAGCCGUAAGAGUUACGGUCUUUGUCUAAGUCUGCUACUCAUUCCCGCCCAAGUGGCUGGUUUAAGCAUCUGAGUAGAAGGUUUUCAUCUUCUUCUUUUCCUUCCUUUUUAUUCUUUGAGUUGUCUGUUGAUUUCACUCUAAGGUCUGACCCGUGAGUCCUUUUUGCUAGAUCUGUAAGUCCCGAGGGUAGGGCGUUUGUGCUGGGCAGGAGACAGAAAAUUGAGUGGAGUUAGUAGAUUUCUUAGAGUCUAAGGAGUGAGUCCGAGAAGUCCCUGUUUAUCUUCUUCCUCAGUCC
rnacentral:lncRNA from 1 species